rnacentral:rRNA from 1 species
GGAUUAGAUACCCUGGUAGUCCACGCCCUAAACGAUGUGCGCUAGAUGUCGGGGGACUUGUCCUUCGGUGUCGGAGCUAACGUGUUAAGCGCACCGCCUGGGGAGUACGGCCGCAAGGUUAAAACUCAAAGGAAUUGACGGGGGCCCGCACAAGCGGUGGAGCAUGUGGUUUAAUUCGACGCAACGCGCAGAACCUUACCAGCCCUUGACAUGAUGACAAAAGCCGGGUGAGAGCCCGGUGUUCCUUCGGGAGGUCAUUGCAGGUGCUGCAUGGCUGUCGUCAGCUCGUGCUG